GACGUAGGGCGCGAGCGUUGUCCGGAUUUAUUGGGCGUAAAGAGCUCGUAGGCGGUUUGUCGCGUCGUCCGUGAAAACUCACAGCUUAACUGUGAGCUUGCGGUCGAUAUGGGCAGGCUAGAGUUCGGUAGGGGAGACUGGAAUUCCUGGUGUAGCGGUGAAAUGCGCAGAUAUCAGGAGGAACACCGGUGGCGAAGGCGGGUCUCUGGGCCGAUACUGACGCUGAGGAGCGAAAGCGUGGGGAGCGAACAGG
rnacentral:rRNA from 1 species